UUUAAAUUGUAGAAAAUUUUUUUAUAAAAGUUAAUAAAUUUAAUUAUAGUUUAAAUAUUAAUUUUAAAAUUUAUGUAUAUAUAAUUUUUAGAGAUUUUUAUUAAAUAUUAAAAUUUUAGUAUAUAAAUUUAAUAAAAUUAAUUAAAUUUAAUUUUAGAAAUUUUUAUAUUUUAGAUAAAUAAUUGUGCCAGCAAUCGUGGUUAAACAAUUUAAGAAAAUUAAUAUUAUUAAGUUGAAAUUAAAUUUAAGAUUAAAUAAAAAAUAUUAAGAUUUUUAGGUGAAAUUAAUUAAUUUUAAUAAUUUUAUAAAUUUUAAUUAUUGAAUUUUUAAAAAUUUAUUUAAAACUAGGAUUAGAUACCCUAUUAUAAAAUUUAAAUAUAAAAUUUUAACAUUAAAUGAAAAAACAUUAAAUUUAAAUAAUUUGGCGGUAUUUUAAUUUUAUUAGAGGAAUUUGUUAAUUAAUUGAUAAUCCUCGAUAAGAGAAACUUUAAUUAAAUUUUUAUAUUGUUGUUUAAAAAGUAUUUUUGGAGGAAUUAUUUAAUAUUUUUUAGAAAAAUUUAAUUCAGAUCAAAAUGAAGUGAAUAUUAAAGAAUUAAUGAGUUACAAUAAAUUUUAUUUAAAUGAAUUUAUAAUUUUAAAAUUAUAUUGAAGGUGGAUUUAAAAGUAAAAUAAAAUAAUUAUUUAAUUUGAUUUAAAUUUUAAAGUAUGUACAAAUUGCCCGUCGUUCUCUUUGAAAAAGGGGGUAAGUCGUAACAAAGUAAAAGUACUGGAAAGUGUUUUUAGAUA
rnacentral:ncRNA from 1 species